GGCUCAGAUUGAACGCUGGCGGCAGGCCUAACACAUGCAAGUCGAGCGGCAGCACGGGUACUUGUACCUGGUGGCGAGCGGCGGACGGGUGAGUAAUGCCUAGGAAUCUGCCUGGUAGUGGGGGAUAACGCUCGGAAACGGACGCUAAUACCGCAUACGUCCUACGGGAGAAAGCAGGGGACCUUCGGGCCUUGCGCUAUCAGAUGAGCCUAGGUCGGAUUAGCUAGUUGGUGAGGUAAUGGCUCACCAAGGCGACGAUCCGUAACUGGUCUGAGAGGAUGAUCAGUCACACUGGAACUGAGACACGGUCCAGACUCCUACGGGAGGCAGCAGUGGGGAAUAUUGGACAAUGGGCGAAAGCCUGAUCCAGCCAUGCCGCGUGUGUGAAGAAGGUCUUCGGAUUGUAAAGCACUUUAAGUUGGGAGGAAGGGCAUUUACCUAAUACGUAAGUGUUUUGACGUUACCGACAGAAUAAGCACCGGCUAACUCUGUGCCAGCAG
rnacentral:rRNA from 1 species